rnacentral:rRNA from 1 species
UACGGAGGGGGCUAGCGUUGUUCGGAAUUACUGGGCGUAAAGCGCACGUAGGCGGCUUUGUAAGUUAGAGGUGAAAGCCCAGGGCUCAACCCUGGAAUUGCCUUUAAGACUGCAUCGCUUGAACAUCGGAGAGGUAAGUGGAAUUCCGAGUGUAGAGGUGAAAUUCGUAGAUAUCAGGAAGAACACCAAUGGCGAAAGCAGCUCUCUGGGACGGUACUGACGCUGAGACGCGAAAGCGUGGGGAGCGAACAGG